GACGAACGCUGGCGGCGUGCUUAACACAUGCAAGUCGAACGGAAAGGCCCUUCUCUUGUUGGGUGCUCGAGUGGCGAACGGGUGAGUAACAUGUGAGUAACCUACCCUUGACUUUGCGAUAGCUUCAGGACACUGGGGCUAAUAUCAUAUAGGAUCUCCUGCUGCGUGGUGUGGUUUGGAAAGUUUCGGCGGUUUGUGCUGGACUGGCGGCUUAUCAGCUUGUAGGUGGGUUAGUGGCUUACGAGGGCUUUGACGGGUAGCCGGCCUGAGAGGGUGACCGGCCACAUUGGGACUGAGAUACGGGCCAGACUCCUACGGGAGGGAGCAGUGGGGAAUAUUGCGCAAUGGGGGGGAGGCGGAUGCGGCAGAGCCGCGCGCGGGAUGAAGGUCUUUGGGUAGUAAAGCGCUUUCGCCUGGGACGAAGCGGGAGUGACGGUAAUGGGUAAAGAAGCGCCGGCUAACUACGUG
rnacentral:rRNA from 1 species